rnacentral:rRNA from 1 species
CGGGACACGUGGUAUCCUGUCUGAAUAUGGGGGGACCAUCCUCCAAGGCUAAAUACUCCUGACUGACCGAUAGUGAACCAGUACCGUGAGGGAAAGGCGAAAAGAACCCCGGCGAGGGGAGUGAAAAAGAACCUGAAACCGUGUACGUACAAGCAGUGGGAGCACGCUUAGGCGUGUGACUGCGUACCUUUUGUAUAAUGGGUCAGCGACUUAUAUUCUGUAGCAAGGUUAACCGAAUAGGGGAGCCGAAGGGAAACCGAGUCUUAACUGGGCGUUAAGUUGCAGGGUAUAGACCCGAAACCCGGUGAUCUAGCCAUGGGCAGGUUGAAGGUUGGGUAACACUAACUGGAGGACCGAACCGACUAAUGUUGAAAAAUUAGCGGAUGACUUGUGGCUGGGGGUGAAAGGCCAAUCAAACCGGGAGAUAGCUGGUUCUCCCCGAAAGCUAUUUAGGUAGCGCCUCGUGAAUUCAUCUCCGGGGGUAGAGCACUGUUUCGGCAAGGGGGUCAUCCCGACUUACCAACCCGAUGCAAACUGCGAAUACCGGAGAAUGUUAUCACGGGAGACACACGGCGGGUGCUAACGUCCGUCGUGAAGAGGGAAACAACCCAGACCGCCAGCUAAGGUCCCAAAGUCAUGGUUAAGUGGGAAACGAUGUGGGAAGGCCCAGACAGCCAGGAUGUUGGCUUAGAAGCAGCCAUCAUUUAAAGAAAGCGUAAUAGCUCACUGGUCGAGUCGGCCUGCGCGGAAGAUGUAACGGGGCUAAACCAUGCACCGAAGCUGCGGCAGCGACGCUGAUGCGUUGUUGGGUAGGGGAGCGUUCUGUAAGCCUGUGAAGGUGUGCUGUGAGGCAUGCUGGAGGUAUCAGAAGUGCGAAUGCUGACAUAAGUAACGAUAAAGCGGGUGAAAAGCCCGCUCGCCGGAAGACCAAGGGUUCCUGUCCAACGUUAAUCGGGGCAGGGUGAGUCGACCCCUAAGGCGAGGCCGAAAGGCGUAGUCGAUGGGAAACAGGUUAAUAUUCCUGUACUUGGUGUUACUGCGAAGGGGGGACGGAGAAGGCUAUGUUGGCCGGGCGACGGUUGUCCCGGUUUAAGCGUGUAGGCUGGUUUUCCAGGCAAAUCCGGAAAAUCAAGGCUGAGGCGUGAUGACGAGGCACUACGGUGCUGAAGCAACAAAUGCCCUGCUUCCAGGAAAAGCCUCUAAGCAUCAGGUAACAUCAAAUCGUACCCCAAACCGACACAGGUGGUCAGGUAGAGAAUACCAAGGCGCUUGAGAGAACUCGGGUGAAGGAACUAGGCAAAAUGGUGCCGUAACUUCGGGAGAAGGCACGCUGAUAUGUAGGUGAAGCGACUUGCUCGUGGAGCUGAAAUCAGUCGAAGAUACCAGCUGGCUGCAACUGUUUAUUAAAAACACAGCACUGUGCAAACACGAAAGUGGACGUAUACGGUGUGACGCCUGCCCGGUGCCGGAAGGUUAAUUGAUGGGGUCAGCGCAAGCGAAGCUCUUGAUCGAAGCCCCGGUAAACGGCGGCCGUAACUAUAACGGUCCUAAGGUAGCGAAAUUCCUUGUCGGGUAAGUUCCGACCUGCACGAAUGGCGUAAUGAUGGCCAGGCUGUCUCCACCCGAGACUCAGUGAAAUUGAACUCGCUGUGAAGAUGCAGUGUACCCGCGGCAAGACGGAAAGACCCCGUGAACCUUUACUAUAGCUUGACACUGAACAUUGAGCCUUGAUGUGUAGGAUAGGUGGGAGGCUUUGAAGUGUGGACGCCAGUCUGCAUGGAGCCGACCUUGAAAUACCACCCUUUAAUGUUUGAUGUUCUAACGU